rnacentral:tRNA from 1 species
GGAGAGGUGUCAGAGUGGUCGAAUGUGCCUGAUUCGAAAUCAGGUGUGCGGUCAAACGCACCGGGGGUUCGAAUCCCUCCCUCUCCGCCA